rnacentral:lncRNA from 1 species
GUUUAGAGACAGGGUCUCACUGAAUUUCUUAGCACAUCUCUGUUGCUGAGGCUGGCUUUGAACUCAUGAUCCUCCAGCCUCAGCCUCCCAAGAUGCUGGGAUUACAGGCAUGUGCCACCCUGAUAUUUAUAUCAUUUAUUUUCAUAUUCAUAUUCUACCCUCCAUCACCUCCCCACCCCUCACAACACACACACACACACACACACAAAUUCUGCACUGCCUAGGGACAAGGGCAUUCUCUGGUUUACUUUUAGUCAGGUUCCUGAAGCUGCCUAGCGUUUGGUUCAUCUUGGGAAGGGGCAGAUGGCCCCUGGACUGGAUGCUACAGGAAUUUGCUGGAAGCCCCUCUGAGGCUCCAAGUGACCCUUCUAGGACCUGAUUGUUACACUCUACUCACUCACUUGUUCUCCUGUUAAAGCAGUGGCCACUUCUAUCCUUCCAAUCAUUUCUCCCCUCUUCAUCAAGAGUGAACUUGUAGCAGGAGAAAUCGCCAAAAUCCUUGGAAUCAAUGAAACAAAAUUUAAAGCAACAAGAAGCUGGAGUGACCGAUUCAUGUGUGGAGCUGGGCUAUCGUUAAGACAUCAGACAUUGUUUUGUCCAAAGCCUCCCACUGACAUUAAAC